rnacentral:rRNA from 1 species
GAUGAACGCUGGCGGCGUGCCUAAUACAUGCAAGUCGAGCGAACAGAUAAGGAGCUUGCUCCUUUGACGUUAGCGGCGGACGGGUGAGUAACACGUGGGUAACCUACCUAUAAGACUGGGAUAACUUCGGGAAACCGGAGCUAAUACCGGAAAUAUUUCGAACCGCAUGGUUCGAUAGUGAAAGAUGGUUUUGCUAUCACUUAUAGAUGGACCCGCGCCGUAUUAGCUAGUUGGUAAGGUAACGGCUUACCAAGGCGACGAUACGUAGCCGACCUGAGAGGGUGAUCGGCCACACUGGAACUGAGACACGGUCCAGACUCCUACGGGAGGCAGCAGUAGGGAAUCUUCCGCAAUGGGCGAAAGCCUGACGGAGCAACGCCGCGUGAGUGAUGAAGGUCUUCGGAUCGUAAAACUCUGUUAUUAGGGAAGAACAUACGUGUAAGUAACUGUGCACGUCUUGACGGUACCUAAUCAGAAAGCCACGGCUAACUACGUG